rnacentral:rRNA from 1 species
AUUGAACGCUGGCGGCAGGCCUAACACAUGCAAGUCGAAUAGUAACAGGAAACAGCUUGCUGUUUCGCUGACGAGUGGCGGACGGGUGAGUAAUGUCUGGGAAACUGCCUGAUGGAGGGGGAUAACUACUGGAAACGGUAGCUAAUACCGCAUAACGUCGCAAGACCAAAGAGGGGGACCUUCGGGCCUCUUGCCAUCAGAUGUGCCCAGAUGGGAUUAGCUAGUAGGUGGGGUAACGGCUCACCUAGGCGACGAUCCCUAGCUGGUCUGAGAGGAUGGCCAGCCACACUGGAACUGAGACACGGUCCAGACUCCUACGGGAGGCAGCAGUGGGGAAUAUUGCACAAUGGGCGCAAGCCUGAUGCAGCCAUGCCGCGUGUAUGAAGAAGGCCUUCGGGUUGUAAAGUACUUUCAGCGGGGAGGAAGGGAGUAAAGUUAAUACCUUUGCUCAUUGACGUUACCCGCAGAAGAAGCACCGGCUAACUCCGUG